GACGAACGCUGGCGGCGUGCCUAAUACAUGCAAGUAGAACGCUGAAGAGAGGAGCUUGCUCUUCUUGGAUGAGUUGCGAACGGGUGAGUAACGCGUAGGUAACCUUCCUUGUAGCGGGGGAUAACUAUUGGAAACGAUAGCUAAUACCGCAUAACAAUGGAUGACACAUGUCAUUUAUUUGAAAGGGGCAAUUGCUCCACUACAAGAUGGACCUGCGUUGUAUUAGCUAGUAGGUCAGGUAAUGGCUCACCUAGGGGACGAUACAUAGCCGACCUGGAAGGGUGAUCCGCCAACACUGGACCGAGGCAACGGCCAGACCCCUAAGGGGGGGCGCCGUAGGGGAUCUUUGGCAAUGGGGGCCACCCUGGCCGAACAACUCCGGGGGAGUGAAGAAAGUUUUUCGAUCGUAAAGGUAUGUUGUGAGGCAAGAACGGGUGUGAGGGUGGAAAGUUCACACUGUGACGGUAGCUGAACAGAAAGGGACGGCUAACUACGUG
rnacentral:rRNA from 1 species